rnacentral:rRNA from 1 species
CUGCGGAAGGAUCAUUACCGAGUGAGGGCCCUCUGGGUCCAACCUCCCACCCGUGUUUAUCGUACCUUGUUGCUUCGGCGGGCCCGCCGCAAGGCCGCCGGGGGGCAUCUGCCCUCUGGCCCGCGCCCGCCGAAGACACCAUUGAACGCUGUCUGAAGAUUGCAGUCUGAGCAAUUAGUUAAAUAACUUAAAACUUUCAACAACGGAUCUCUUGGUUCCGGCAUCGAUGAAGAACGCAGCGAAAUGCGAUACGUAAUGUGAAUUGCAGAAUUCAGUGAAUCAUCGAGUCUUUGAACGCACAUUGCGCCCCCUGGUAUUCCGGGGGGCAUGCCUGUCCGAGCGUCAUUGCUGCCCUCAAGCACGGCUUGUGUGUUGGGCUCCGUCCUCCUCCCGGGGGACGGGCCCGAAAGGCAGCGGCGGCACCGCGUCCGGUCCUCGAGCGUAUGGGGCUUCGUCACCCGCUCUGUAGGCCCGGCCGGCGCUUGCCGACACAUCAAUCUUUUUUCCAGGUUGACCUCGGAUCAGGUAGGGAUACCCGCUGAACUUAAGCAUAUCAAUAAGCCGGA